AUGGGGGGGGAGGGGGGGAGGGGCAGGGGGGCGGUGGGGGGGGGGGGCAGGGCGGGGAGGAAGAGGAAGGAGACGGCGGCGGUGCGGAGGGGGGCGGGGGGCGCGGAGCCCCCCAACAUCUGCGUGGAGUGCGGGCAGAGCUUCGAGCGCAGCGCGGCGCUGGCCCGGCACCGCAGUGACCACCGGAGUGACCAACGGAGUGACCGCAGGAGUGACCGCAGCACUGACCACCGGAGUGACCAACGGAGUGACCACAGCACUGACCACAGCACUGACCACCGGAGUGACCACAGCACUGACCACAGCACUGACCACAGCACUGACCACAGCACUGACCACCGGAGUGACCACCGGAGUGACCACAGCACUGACCACAGCACUGACCACCGGAGUGACCAACGGAGUGACCACAGUGACCAUGGCUCUGGGCUGAGCUUCCAGAGCAGCGCGGCGCUGGCCCGGCACCGCAGUGACCACAGCAGUGACCACCGGAGUGACCACCGGAGUGACCAACGGAGUGACCGCAGCACUGACCACCGGAGUGACCAACGGAGUGACCACAGCACUGACCACCCGAGUGACCACAGCACUGACCACCGGAGUGACCACAGCACUGACCAACGGAGUGACCAACGGAGUGACCAACGGAGUGACCGCAGCACUGACCACCGGAGUGACCACCGGAGUGACCGCAGCACUGACCGCAGCACUGACCGCAGCACUGACCACAGCACUGACCGCCCGAGUGACCACCGGAGUGACCACAGUGACCAACAGAGUGACCACGGCACUGACCAUGGCUCUGGACACGGCACUGACCAAGGCAGCGGUCAGCCCGGCUGCUACGGACAGACGGACAUUGGUCACGGUCAGCAGGGCGGCUCAGGACACAGCAGUGACCACAGACUGAGCACUGACCACAGCUCUGGAAACAGGAGUGACCGUGGCAGCGGUCAGUGCAGCGGCUCCAGACAGCCAGACCAUGGCCGUGGUCAGCGGGCUUGUGGCCGUGGUCAGCGAGGCAGCUCUGGACAGAGGAAGCUCAGUGGAAAUGGCCAAAGAGGCAACAGCGGUCAGCGGGGCGGCUCCGGCCAGCUGGACAUCGAUGGGAAUGGCCGGAGGGUCAGCCAUGGCAGCGGUCAGCAGGACCAUGGCAGUGGUCAGCGGGAGCACAGCGAUGGUCAGUGGGGCGGCUCCGGCCAGCCGGACAUUGACAAUGAUGACCAACAGCCCACACCCAGCGGCGCCAGCGGCCUGGCAGAUGACCGCCCUGAUGACCGCCCAGAUGACCACCCCACAUCCCACCACCCCAGCACUGCCCCCUCCGCUGACCACUGCCCACUGACCUGUCCGGACUGCGGCCAAACCUUCUCCCAGAGCUCCCACCUGCAGCGUCACCGCCGCGGCCACACCGCGCUGACCACAGCCUGCGGUCACUCCCACACCGCGCUGACCGGAUACCUGCGGUCACUCCCACACCGCACUGACCGACACCUGCGGUCACUCUCCGGCCACGCCGCGGCCCCGCGCGCGCCUGGACGGCCGGAGGAGCCCCAAGGGGCAGCGCAGGGGCGGCCGAGCGCGGCCCAAAUCCGCUCUGGGCAUCCCCAACACGUGCGGGGAGUGCUGGCAGAGCUUCGGCCAGAGCUCGGACCUGGUCAAGCACCUGCGCAUCCACACGGGCGAGCGGCCGUACGCCUGCGGCCACUGCGGCAAGCGCUUCAACGUCAGCUCCAACCUGAGCCGGCACCGGCGCAUCCACACCGGCGAGCGCCCGUACGGCUGCGCCGACUGCGGCAAGAGCUUCACCGACCGCUCCACGCUGAGCCAGCACCGGCGCAGCCACACCGGCGAGCGCCCGUACGGCUGCGGGCUCUGCGGCAAGAGCUUCAGCCGCAGCUCGCACCACCGGCGCCACCAGCGCACCCACGCCAGGGACGCCGCCGCUGCGGCUGGGGCGGCGCCGCAGAUCUGGGGGUACCCGAGCCAGGCUUCUUGAGCAGCGUUCUGAUGGUUGGAGUAAGGAAAAAUUAAAGAAAAUCUGGAAUAAUGAGUGGGUUUUUUUGGUGUUUGGUGGUUGUAAUUGCAGUGUCUUGAUGCCAGCCCAAGUCCCAAUCCCAAGUCCCAAUCCCAGUCCCAGUCUUGGUCCCGGUCCCAUCAUCUUGAUCCCUGUCCAAGUCCCAGUCCUGAUCCUGGUCCCAGUCUUGGUCUCAGACCCAUCAUCUUGAUCCCAGCCCCAAUCCCAAUCCCAGCCCCAAUCCCAGCCCCAAUCCCAAUCCCAGCCCCAAUCCCAAUCCCAGCCCCAAUCCCAGUCCCAUUCUCACCAUCCCACCCCAGCACCCACGCCGGGAGCGCCGCUGGGGCUGGGGCGGCGCCGCAGAUCUGGGGGUACCCGAGCCAGGCUUCUUGAGUUGGAAAAAUUAAAGAAAAUUUGGAAUAAUUGGGGAUUUUUUUGAGUUUUUUUUGGUGUUUUUUGGGGUGGUAGGUUUGGGGUUUUGGGGGUUGGUUUGGGUUUUGGUCGCGGUUCCAGUGUCUUGAUCCCAGCCCCAAUCUUGGUACCAGACCCAUCAUCUUGAUCCCAAUCCCAGUUCUGAUCUUGGUCCCCAUCCCAGUCCUGAUCCCAGUCCCAUCCCAGUCCCAAAU
rnacentral:lncRNA from 1 species